GGCCCGGUGGCUCAGUCGGUUAGAGUGUCAGUCCUGUAUACCGAUAGGUUGUGGGUUCAAUUCCCAGUCAGGACA
rfam:Myotis lucifugus cont2.56944, whole genome shotgun sequence.